CCAAGCAAUGUCCAUGGCUGGAGUAAUGGUCUUGGCUAUCGUCAUUUAUACCGGUUUCGUGAUUCCCACGCCGCAGAUGUCUGAUGUCCCGUGGUUCAGUUGGAUUAGAUGGAUCAACCCGGUUUUCUAUACCUUCGAAGCCAUGAUCGCCAACGAAUUUCAUGGUCGAGAAUUUGAAUGUUCUCAGUUUGUGCCCGC
rnacentral:misc_RNA from 1 species